rnacentral:rRNA from 1 species
ACCCGCACAAGCAGCGAGCAUGUGGUUUAAUUCGAAGCAACGCGAAGAACCUUACCAGAUCUUGACAUCCAAUUGACCAUCUUUUAAUCGAGAUUUUGCCUUCGGGUACAAUUGAGACAGGUGGUGCAUGGUUGUCGUCAGCUCGUGUCGUGAGAUGUUGGGUUAAGUCCCGCAACGAGCGCAACCCUUGUGUUUAGUUGCAAACAGGUCAAGCUGUGCACUCUAGACAGACUGCCGUGGACAACACGGAGGAAGGUGGGGAUGACGUCAAAUCAUCAUGCCCCUUAUGAUCUGGGCUACACACGUGCUACAAUGGCCGGUACAACGGGCAGCGAAGGAGCGAUCCGGAGCGAAUCCCAAAAAGCCGGUCCCAGUUCGGAUUGCAGGCUGAAACUCGCCUACAUGAAGUUGGAGUUGCUAGUAAUCGCGAAUCAGAAUGUCGCGGUGAAUGCGUUCCCGGGUCUU